AGGACGAACGCUGGCGGCGUGCUUAACACAUGCAAGUCGAGCGGAAAGGCCCUUCGGGGUACUCGAGCGGCGAACGGGUGAGUAACACGUGAGUAAUCUGCCCCUAGCUCUGGGAUAGCUCCGGGAAAACCGGGAUUAAUACCAGAUACGACCACUUUAGACAUCUUCUGUGGUGGAAAGAACUUCGGCUAGGGAUGAACUCGCGGCCUAUCAGCUUGUGGUGAGGUAACGCUCACCAAGGCGACGACGGGUA
rnacentral:rRNA from 1 species